CCCUUAGAUGUCCUGGGCCGCACGCGCGCUACACUGAGUGUCUGAGAUACGAGUCUUCCUGGUCCGGCAAGGUCUAGGUAAUCGCUAAAAGACACAUCAUGCUUGGGAUAGAUUAUUGCAAAUAUUAAUCUUGAACGAGGAAUUCCUAGUAAGCGCAAGUCAACAGCUUGCGUUGAUUACGUCCCUGCCCUUUGUACACACCGCCCGUCGCUACUACUGAUUGGAUGUUUAAGCGAGGUUCUCGAACUGCUAGCGACUUAGCUUCGGUGAGGUCGCAGUGUGGGAAGUGAACCUAGCUUUGGUGUCUAGAGGAAGUAAAAGUCGUAACA
rnacentral:rRNA from 1 species